rnacentral:lncRNA from 1 species
UACUGUGCGCAGGGCCUACAGCGCACAGGCCCACUACACAAACAACGUGCACAUUGUGCACGACACUUGGACUUGUCCUCACACGAUGUGACAUGCGCGGACUACCUUACCUUUGCGCGACAUGGCGUGCACGCAGGACUGGCCCUGCACCCUACGUGGAUGGUACGUAGGCACAGUGCAUGCAUUCUACGCUUGGUCGCGUGCACAUGCUCGCGCACAGCGCGCGGUGCCCGUGCAGGAAAACCUCUCCCGCGGGAUUUUUUAUUUUAUUUUUAUUUUCUCAUUAAAAUUAUUUUUAAUUAAAAAAAUAAUUAUAAUAUAUAAAAUAAAUCAAAAUAAUAAGAAAAUAAAAAUCCUAAAAAUAAGAAUAAAAUAACGAAAUCAGCAUAAAAUUAAAAUUAUGAAUUUAAAUCAUGAAUUACGAUGUAAAGCUGCGAAAUAAAUUUAAAUGAGUUCAGGUGGCCUUAAGGCCCAAAUAAAUAAGGGUCUUCCAAAUACAAAUUUAGUGUGGUGAUGAGCAGGGUUUUACAGUGCAUCUUAGUACGUACGGAGUGAAUAGACAAUUUGGAGGCACGAGCAGCCUUCAAAACAUCCAUCCUGAUAGCAGUGGGGACCCAUAUACGAUCCUAAAAUUUGCACAAUCUAUCAUCUGUGAGCUUGAAAUCAGAAACUUCGUCAGAAAUAAACUUCAAUUUUUGGCUAUUUCUUGUGC